CCUGUUCCCAAGCAGUUGGUGUGAGAAGACAAAGGGAGCCUUGCCAGAGGCUCAUCCCACCUCCAUCCAGACCUGCUGAGCUGCUUCCUGAGGAUUCUGAGUGGACAGAAACAGCCCCUGGAACAGCAUUACUGGCCAAGCACAGAAUUCAACUCAUCAUUUCCCCUGACAAAGAAGGCAACGAUUAGGCACGGAAAUAAUUUGGGCUACUGCCUGUGUUGGAGAUAACUCUCCGUAAGAGAUGCUGGCUCGGAUGUUUCUUUCUCUCCAUCCACAGGCAAGACAACCAGGACACCAAAUUAGAGGAGCUCUGUCUGGUGCCUCAUCCUCUGAGCAUUUCUUCCCAUCCUGAGCCUCUGCUACUGAAUUCUUGUGUGCUGAGAUGGUGCUGCAGUUUUAAGUGGCUGGAAACUUUUUCCAAAGGAAGAGCAGGUCCAGUUUGGAAACAACAUCUUUUUUAAUCUUCUCUCUUGACUGUUGUCUGCUGCUUUUCUGAGUUAUUCAGCAAGUUGCAACACAAAGACACAAAGAGAGAUGUACUGUUAUUAUUGGUGGUUGUUGUUCCUAAGUCUUUAUUGAUUUUUAUGAAAGAAAUAAUAACAAUGUGCAUGAGGUAUCCAGCUAACAAAAGAAGUCCUGCAGUACUCAUCUCGAAUUAAAUAUAGAGAAGCAGAAUCCAACUGGGAUAUUGACAGGCAAAUACAAAGCUUUGUGUCUCAGGGUAGUGCUGGAGUGAAAGCAGGACUCUG
rnacentral:lncRNA from 1 species